rnacentral:pre_miRNA from 1 species
CCGGGAUGGAUUUCCAGACAUCUUCGUCAAGCCCUAGAAAAAAAUUUACAAUUCAUAUAAGAUAUAAGCGAAAUAGACAUAUUUAUAAAUUUGAAGAUAUAAAUUUCAAACAACAUAAAUUUUUAUAAUGGUUACCUUUUUCUCUUUACAGAAGUGUUAGGUUCUACAGAAU